rnacentral:lncRNA from 1 species
UGGGAGUGGAAACAGAGCCUCUUGUUCACACUCCACACCCUCAUCUUCCAGCAGUGAGGGUAGACUAUUAAGGUUCUCAUGUCAUCAAGGAUCAAGGCAAUGGAUUAAUGGAGACUCUAGACAUUUGUUUCCUCACCAGUGAAAAUUAAAUGAAGACCCAGGAAUCACUACAGCUAUGGGGAUGAGAAGGACAUUUCAGCAGCUAGAGUGUGGUGGCAUUAUUUACUCAGGAGAAAAAAGUAUAGGAAACUAAAGAAAAUACUGAAGAUAAUCUCAAAUGGUGACAAUCUUUUUCAAUCUCAUCUACACUUCAAUUUUGGAAUAGUCUAUAAUAUUUGAGAAUUAACAGAAAUAUUGCAAGAUAAAAGCUAGCAACUGUUAUGUAAAAGUAUCCAUUUUCCAUGGAUUCCCGCUAAAAGACUAACAGUUACUAAAUCAUCCCCACAAGCCAACUGCUUUUAAAAAGACCUCUACUACAACACAAGAUGGUGCCACUAACAUAUUAUGGUCAACACUUUGUGCCAUUAGACUACUUCUACCAACUGUCCUCAGCCAAUACAUUAACACAUCAACAUACAGGUGAAAAACUAAAUCAGUUCAAUAACCAACCUAUGGCCAAAGUGCAAUCCCAUAGCAAUCACUUUGCAGCACCUCCACUGGGCUCCAAUAAGAAGGUCCAGAGAUGCUCAGUAUUGCCUUCUCCCAAAUAUCAGGACAAAAUUUCACAGAGCUUCUGUGAUAGGAUUCUGAAUUCACCAUUGUUCCAUGCCAAGCAUCAGAACACACCUUCAAUAGGCCUCCACUGGAGAAGUUCAUUGUGGCCUGCUCAAAGAGCCCUGAACUCUCAUUUGUUGCACUCCAAAGCUCAAACAACGUCUUCAUCUGACCUCAACAUGACAUCAUCACUGGAGCUCAAACAAACAGCCCUGAGUUUACAACUACCCUUCUGUAAACCUCAAACAACAUCUUCAAGCCUAGAUGUUUGCUGGAGAUCACUUUCAUUGAAGUCUCAUCAAAGAGUCUCAAGUUCAUCAUUAUUUCGCCUCCAAAAUCAAGAAAUACCUUCCAUAAACAUCAUUUGGACAUCAUCUUCCUUGGGACCCAAACGAAAAGCCCUUAGCUCGACAUUGCUUCAAUCCAAACCUCAGAAAACAUCCUCAUUGGACUACCUUUGGACAUCUUCAUUGCAGCGCAAUCAAAGAUCUUUGAGUUCACCAUCACUCAACACAAAACUUCAAACAAGUGACUUAUUUUGGACAUCACCUUCUUUCAAACCCAAUCAAAUGGCUCUUACCUCUCCAUUACUUGACUCUAGGCUUCAGAAAACACCUAUAUUGAACUCUAACCCCACUACUGGAGGCUUACCAGUGUCCCAUUCAAAAGCAAGGCAAUCAGCAUCAUCAUAUUUUGUCCACCCAUCUGAGAAUUUACCAUUGUUUCAGCUCAAUUCUCAGUCAAUGUUUAUGCUUGAUUGUAACUUCCAGACCACGAAUUCACCUGUCUGUCACUCCAAGUUUCAGAAUACCACUUCACCAAAUGGCAAACACAGAGUCACACAUCUACCAUCACCCCAUCCAAAAACAAACAUCUCAGGUCAAUUAUUAUCAAGCUCCAAACACUGCACCAGGAACACAGCUGCUUCAACAUUAGGUUUCAGACUCCAGAGUAAAAGCAGCUUUCAGUUUUCUCCAAAGACAGAAUCAAAUAAAGAAAUUCCUUGGACUUUAAAGUAUAGUCAGGAA